rnacentral:lncRNA from 1 species
CUCUUUUAUAAUAUUUUAUUAUAAAAAAUAUUUAAGACUUAUACAUUAUCAUUUUUUAUAUAUUUUAUUAUUUUUAAAUAAUUUUUUCUUUCUUCUUUCUCCUCUUAUAACUCUUUCACUUUUUUUAUUAUAUUGAUCCUCCAAAGUAAAAUUUCUGGAUCUGCCAUUAGGUAAUGGUGAGUUAUUUUAUUAGAAGGCAAAAAAAAAAAACUAGUGUUUGUGUAUCGUGUCUUUCAAACUCUUGAACAUGACUAGGCUAGUGUUUAGGGAUUGCUUGGACAUCAUACUUCAAUUGUAUUCAAUGAUAUAUAGCUUGCUUGGAGAUCAUAUUUUUUGUGUGUGUAUCUACAUAGCUAAUCAUCAUUAGACUUUUACAUGUAUUCAAAAUGUGAUUCAUGAUAUUCUUGUUCAUUACUAAUAGAGCAUCUGUCAUAAUAUUAAGGUUGCAUUCGAUAGCUAGCAAUCUAUCUAGAUUACUGACAAUUUAAAGUGAACCC